rnacentral:rRNA from 1 species
UACGUAGGGCGCAAGCGUUGUCCGGAAUUAUUGGGCGUAAAGAGCUCGUAGGCGGUUUGUCGCGUCUGUCGUGAAAGCCUGGGGCUUAACCCCAAGUCUGCGGUGGAUACGGGCAGACUAGAGGCAGGUAGGGGAGAACGGAAUUCCCGGUGUAGCGGUGAAAUGCGCAGAUAUCAGGAGGAACACCGGUGGCGAAGGCGGUUCUCUGGGCCUGUACUGACGCUGAGGAGCGAAAGCGUGGGGAGCGAACAGG